UACGAAGGGGGCUAGCGUUGCUCGGAAUUACUGGGCGUAAAGCGCACGUAGGCGGGUCAAUAAGUCGGGGGUGAAAUCCUGGAGCUCAACUCCAGAACUGCCUUUGAUACUGAAGAUCUUGAGUUCGGGAGAGGUGAGUGGAACUGCGAGUGUAGAGGUGAAAUUCGUAGAUAUUCGCAAGAACACCAGUGGCGAAGGCGGACUCACUGGCCCCGAUACUGACGCUGAGGCACGAAAGCGUGGGGAGC
rnacentral:rRNA from 1 species